AGAGUUUGAUCAUGGCUCAGAUUGAACGCUGGCGGCAGGCCUAACACAUGCAAGUCGAACGGUAACAGGAAGCAGCUUGCUGCUUUGCUGACGAGUGGCGGACGGGUGAGUAAUGUCUGGGAAACUGCCUGAUGGAGGGGGAUAACUACUGGAAACGGUGGCUAAUACCGCAUAACGUCGCAAGACCAAAGAGGGGGACCUUCGGGCCUCUUGCCAUCAGAUGUGCCCAGAUGGGAUUAGCUUGUUGGUGAGGUAACGGCUCACCAAGGCGACGAUCCCUAGCUGGUCUGAGAGGAUGACCAGCCACACUGGAACUGAGACACGGUCCAGACUCCUACGGGAGGCAGCAGUGGGGAAUAUUGCACAAUGGGCGCAAGCCUGAUGCAGCCAUGCCGCGUGUAUGAAGAAGGCCUUCGGGUUGUAAAGUACUUUCAGCGGGGAGGAAGGUGUUGUGGUUAAUAACCGCAGCAAUUGACGUUACCCGCAGAAGAAGCACCGGCUAACUCCGUGCCAGCAGCCGCGGUAAUACGGAGGGUGCAAGCGUUAAUCGGAAUUACUGGGCGUAAAGCGCACGCAGGCGGUCUGUCAAGUCGGAUGUGAAAUCCCCGGGCUCAACCUGGGAACUGCAUUCGAAACUGGCAGGCUUGAGUCUUGUAGAGGGGGGUAGAAUUCCAGGUGUAGCGGUGAAAUGCGUAGAGAUCUGGAGGAAUACCGGUGGCGAAGGCGGCCCCCUGGACAAAGACUGACGCUCAGGUGCGAAAGCGUGGGGAGCAAACAGGAUUAGAUACCCUGGUAGUCCACGCCGUAAACGAUGUCUACUUGGAGGUUGUGCCCUUGAGGCGUGGCUUCCGGAGCUAACGCGUUAAGUAGACCGCCUGGGGAGUACGGCCGCAAGGUUAAAACUCAAAUGAAUUGACGGGGGCCCGCACAAGCGGUGGAGCAUGUGGUUUAAUUCGAUGCAACGCGAAGAACCUUACCUGGUCUUGACAUCCACAGAAGAAUCCAGAGAUGGAUUUGUGCCUUCGGGAACUGUGAGACAGGUGCUGCAUGGCUGUCGUCAGCUCGUGUUGUGAAAUGUUGGGUUAAGUCCCGCAACGAGCGCAACCCUUAUCCUUUGUUGCCAGCGGUCCGGCCGGGAACUCAAAGGAGACUGCCAGUGAUAAACUGGAGGAAGGUGGGGAUGACGUCAAGUCAUCAUGGCCCUUACGACCAGGGCUACACACGUGCUACAAUGGCGCAUACAAAGAGAAGCGAUCUCGCGAGAGCAAGCGGACCUCAUAAAGUGCGUCGUAGUCCGGAUUGGAGUCUGCAACUCGACUCCAUGAAGUCGGAAUCGCUAGUAAUCGUGGAUCAGAAUGCCACGGUGAAUACGUUCCCGGGCCUUGUACACACCGCCCGUCACACCAUGGGAGUGGGUUGCAAAAGAAGUAGGUAGCUUAACCUUCGGGAGGGCGCUUACCACUUUGUGAUUCAUGACUGGGGUGAAGUCGUAACAAGGUAACCGUAGGGGAACCUGCGGUUGGAUCACCU
rnacentral:rRNA from 1 species